rnacentral:rRNA from 1 species
CGAGCGCUCACCUUCGGGUGGGAGCGGCGGACGGGUUAGUAACGCGUGGGAACAUACCCUUCUCUACGGAAUAGUCUCGGGAAACUGGGGGUAAUACCGUAUACGCCCCCCGAUCUUAAUAAAUUGGGGGGAAAGAUUUAUCGGAGAAGGGUUGGCCCGCGUUUGAUUAGAUAGUUGGUGGGGUAAUGGCCUACCAAGUCUACGAUCAAUAGCUGGUUUGAGAGGAUGAUCAGCCACACUGGAACUGAGACACGGUCCAG